rnacentral:misc_RNA from 1 species
GAUGAAGAACGUAGCGAAAUGCGAUACGUAAUGUGAAUUGCAGAAUUCAGUGAAUCAUCGAGUCUUUGAACGCACAUUGCGCCCCCUGGCAUUCCGGGGGGCAUGCCUGUCCGAGCGUCAUUGCUGCCCUCAAGCACGGCUUGUGUGUUGGGCCUCCGUCCUCCUCCCGGGGGACGGGCCCGAAAGGCAGCGGCGGCACCGCGUCCGGUCCUCGAGCGUAUGGGGCUUCGUCACCCGCUCUUGUAGGCCCGGCCGGCGCUUGCCGACACAUCAAUCUUUUUUCCAGGUUGACCUCGGAUCAGGUAGGGAUACCCGCUGAACUUAAGCAUAUCAAUAAGCGGAGGA